rnacentral:rRNA from 1 species
UACGAAGGGGGCGAGCGUUGUUCGGAAUCACUGGGCGUAAAGGGCGCGUAGGCGGCCCUUCUUGUCGCGUGUGAAAGCCCCGGGCUCAACCUGGGAACGGCGCGCGAGACGGGGGGGCUGGAGUUCGGGAGAGGAGCGUGGAAUUCCCAGUGUAGAGGUGAAAUUCGUAGAUAUUCGCAAGAACACCAGUGGCGAAGGCGGGUCUCUGGACAGUUCCUGACGCUGAGGCACGAAGGCCAGGGGAGCAAACGGG